rnacentral:lncRNA from 1 species
CGAAGCAAUCCUUGUACUCCUUCAACAGCUUCUUCAAUUCUUCCUGUUGCUGAGCCGACAACUUGGAACUUAUAAACGUCAGCCUGUUAUCUUCAUGGGACCCCAGAUUUACCUCUAUCAACAAAUCCUGGAUCUCCAGCUUUUUCUCGUCGACUUUAAUAGGCGAUUCUUCUAGCUUCAUUUUCGCCGUUUACCUAUUCAUCUCAUAUGAUUUAUUAGUCUCCAUGAC